UUCUGUAACUUAGAUAAAACAAUUCAUAUUACUUGGUCAAUUUAAAUGUUAUAAAAAGCCAAAAUUAAAAUAAAUAUGUACUAUAGAGUUAUUUGCAGACAUCUGCCUGUAGGUGGAGCUAUUGUCUCAGCAGUAAAGUAUUAUUAUUCCACUAGAACAUGCGUUGUUACUACUAAACUAUUAAUAAAAAUAUGGAUUCGUCAAUAUGACAGUGUUUUCAAUAGUUUAUAUUUAUAGGAUUCCCAGUGGAAUCCUGCACAAGAAAGCAAUAAAAAUAAUAAUAAUCACCACUAAUUAAUAAAAAACUGGAAGGACAAACAUUAAGAAGUUUUGAAAAUAUGUUUUGAGGGACAAAACAUGUAUGUUUCACUAAAUCUAUACAUCCUCCCCGUAUGUUUUCUUAUCAUAUGACUUGUGUAAGGCAUUUUGCUUUUUCAUGAAUACAGGAUGGCCCAAAAAUCUCAAACGUAGGGGAUUAUGUACGGUAUACCUGCACCACAUCGAGCCAUGUGCGGCAUUUAUUGGCAACCGUUUCAUGGAGAUAGACACUGAUCACAUUUCAAAGCAGAUGGCUGAACUGUUCAAUGUCAAUGCUGUAGAGAUGGAGAUGGAGGUUAUUAAUCUCCAAAAUCAUAUCCAGCUGAAAUCUCAGCAACAUUCACAACAUUUCUGGAGUCUUGUAGACCCAGAAAACUACUAGAACAUUCACCAAGCUGCCCUCAAAGCAUGUGUUUUAUUUGGAUCUACAGACCUUUGUGAAGCAGCGUUUUCUGAUAUGAACGUGAUCGAAUCUAAAUUCAGAACAAGACUGACAGAUGAACAUUUAAAUGAUUGCAUAAGAGUGAACCUAAGUGCAUACACACCAGCACCUACCUCUCUUGUGGAAUCAAUGCCGUGUCAGUCAGCUCAUUAACUGUAAAUAAGUGUGAAUGCACUUCAUGUCAGACUUGUGACCCAUCAUGCACUUUCUCAUGUACCAUGCACUCUCAUUCAUGUGGUAUACAUUUUAGCUCAGACUACAGGACAACCUUUGAAAUGCUACUGCUGUUUAUAUUACAGUUUAAUUUAGUUUGGACUUUCAUUAAUGUAUAUACGUAAACAGCCGUCUGGUUCUGUGUAGACAACUAUAACAAAGUGUGCUGUUCUCCAUAAAGAACUGUAUUCUCUGAUUCUGUUUUCUUCUCCGACUCCUUCAGGUGUAGAUCAGUUUGUUCAUUUGAGAGUUAUGAUGCAUUAUGGGAAAGAUUGUGAGUAGUGUAGGACAUGGGUAGCUCUCAGACACUUUCAUUAAAAACAAAAAAAGCUCUGAAAUGAAAAAAGGUUGGAGAACCCUGUAUUAGAGCCAAAAGGAAUAUGUGUGACGUGCUCGAACUUAGAUGUCUUUGUGGUGUUCCACGUGACUGUGUCGAAUUCAGAAUGGAAUCACUGUGGCGUUGUUGUUGUUUUUUUCUUCUCUCCAGAGUAAAGAUAAAAUCUCCCCAUUUACCAAAACGCCGAAGCUGGAUCGGAGUGAGAUUAUGGAGAAGCCGAAGUGUUCCAUGAAACGCGAGCUGUCCUUCAGUGUCAGUCCGCCCUGUACCGAGGAACAGGACUCACACAGACUCUGAGGACCCUCCGUCAGUCAACCCCUCCAGUGUAGAUGAGAAAUACUCAGACACCGAGAAGGACUCUGAUGGCAAAUCGACCACAGCAAAGGCCACAUCUUCAGUGUCUGGUGUGGAUGAGUAUGAGUUCAAGGACGAGGAAGAGGAGGAAGACCUGAGCAAGGCCCUAAAUGACAGACACAUCCUGAGACGAGAAGCGUGUCAGAAAGAGAAGGAGGAAAAGGAGCAAAACCAUUACACACCCAAACAGUCCAACAAGAGUGAUCAGACGACGUCAUCCUGCAAAUUAAAAAAGCCUGAGAAGAACAGUGAUCAUAGUAAAAUUGACCGAAUUAAAGAAAAGGAACGAGAAAAAGACAAAGACUCUGACAAGAAGAAAAAAGAAAAAUCAAAAGAAGCCACUCUCCCCUCCUCGAGUUCUAAUCUCACGUUUCUUUUGGAAGAGAAGAAGGGGUACAUACCCGAGAGCAAUAAAACUGUAACUUCAAAAUUAAAAGAAGAGGUCGUGAAAACCCCCGAGGAAGACCGGGACAGACGGGAGACGGAUCGAGAUUUGGAAAGGCUUCGGGACCGGGACCGAGAGCGAAAAGGACAAGGAAAAGGACAGGGAUAAAGAGAGGUCACAGCAGAGUAGGGACAGCAAACUCAGUAAAGCAAGGGCUGUUGAGUCAGAGUCGGACAGGUCCAAAUCCAAAGCCUCCCCUGCACAAAAGGAAACCCGUCCCAAAACACUUCCAUGUACAGCCAGUGCGGUCAGAGAUUGUCAGCAGGUCAAAGAAAGAUUUCGCAAGAUGACUGCAAGUCAAGUCUCUCCAGUGAGCAUGCAGGUGCAGCUGAUGGACAGCUGGAGAAAAACGAGCAUAGUUUGCCCGUCCCUUCAGUUUCAAAUGUCCCUCAUUGCGCUAGUCCUGUGAGCAAGCUCUGUAUUCCAAUGGUGUAUUUACAAUGUUUAUUAAAUGACUGUCUGAAUUCAUGCAUUUAUUUAUUUUUAUUACAUAACACCACCACCCUCACUACAUGAACCAUUCAAGGAGAUGUUCAAACAGCAGGAGAUUGUGCGCAGGAAGUUCCGCUUGCGGCACAGCAUUGAAAGGGAGCAUUUGAUUGAGCAAAAAGAGCAAAAAGUCCUUCUUAUCCAUCAUCGUGCUGCAAGAACCUUAGCCAAUCAGACAACACCCUCCAGUGCUUGCACGGUCUUGUUGGACACAGAAGUAUACAACAUGCCCCAGGAUGUACAGGCACUUAACUGGAGAUGACGGGAAAACCUCCGUGAGAGAUCGGUUUAACGCGAGUCAGUUCACGUCUUGGCUUCAGGAUGUGGAUGACAAAUUUGAGGAGUGUAAGACAUUGCUCCUGAUGAGGCAGAAGCACGAUGCAUCAGCUCUUAAGACCAUUCAGCAAUUAGUGUGGAAGUUUAUGCUACAGGAUCUGGACCCUGCCACUUACAAAUCAACUAACAUUAUCCAAGUCCCAGAGUGUCACAUCCCACUUGUCGAGGUCAACGAUGACUUUGACCGCGCCCCGAUAUAACAGCAGUGACUCACGAGGCUCGUCUCUCCAGGACUUGAGAGGGGUAGAGAAACACAAAGCACUUGUUUUGGGCGAGCUGCGGUGUUCACGUGUGUGUCGUGCAGUCUUGCACCAUAUGAUCAGACACU